GACAAACGCUGGCGGCGCGCUUAACACAUGCAAGUCGAGCGAGAACCUGGGCUUCGGCCCUGGGGACAGCGGCGAACGGGUGAGUAACACGUGGGUAAUCUGCCCUUGACAUCGGGAUAGCCCGGGGAAACCCGGAUUAAUACCGAAUAGCCUCCGGAGCCUUCGGGCGUCGGAGAAAAGGUAGCUUCGGCCUCUGGUCGAGGAUGAGCCCGCGGCGGAUUAGCUUGUUGGCGGGGUAACGGCCCACCAAGGCGACGAUCCGUAGCUGGUCUGAGAGGACGAUCAGCCACACUGGGACUGAGACACGGCCCAGACUCCUACGGGAGGCAGCAGUGGGGAAUUUUGGACAAUGGGCGCAAGCCUGAUCCAGCAAUGCCGCGUGCAGGAUGAAGGCCUUCGGGUUGUAAACUGCUUUUGUACGGAACGAAAAGCCCUGGGUUAAUACCCUGGGGUCAUGACGGUACCGUAAGAAUAAGCACCGGCUAACUACGUGCCAGCAGCCGCAGUAAGAC
rnacentral:rRNA from 1 species